GACAGAGGCCCCAAGCGUUAGGCGGAAUCACUGGGCUUAAAGCGUGUGUAGGCGGACGCCUAAGUGUCUCGUGAAAUCCCCCCGGCUCACCCGGGGAACUGCUGGGCAUACUGGGCGUCUUGAGCCAGCUAGGGGCUACCGGAACAAAUGGUGGAGCGGUGAAAUGCGUAGAUAUCAUUUGGAACGCCAAUGGUGAAAACAGGUAGCUGGGGGCUGUGCUGACGCUGAGACACGAAAGCCAGGGGAGCAAACGGG
rnacentral:rRNA from 1 species